rnacentral:rRNA from 1 species
CCAAUAGCGUAUAUUAAAGUUGUUGCAGUUAAAAAGCUCGUAGUUGAAUUUCGGGGUCAGUAGAUUGGUCGUUCCACUGGUAUGUACUGGUCUCACUGGCUCCUCCUUCCUGAUGAACCGUAAUGCCAUUAAUUUGGUGUUGCGGGGAGACUGGACUGUUACUUUGAAAAAAUUAGAGUGUUUAAAGCAGGCUAACGCUUGAAUACAUUAGCAUGGAAUAAUGAAAUAGGACGUUCGAUCUUAUUUUGUUGGUUUCUAAGAUUGACGUAAUGAUUAAUAGGGAUAGUUGGGGGCAUUAGUAUUCAAUUGUCAGAGGUGAAAUUCUUGGAUUUAUUGAAGACUAACUACUGCGAAAGCAGUUUCCAAGGAUGUUUUCAUUAAUCAAGAACGAAAGUUAGGGGAUCGAAGACGAUCAGAUACCGUCGUAGUCUUAACCAUAAACUAUGCCGACUAGGGAUCGGAUGAUGUUAAUUUUUUAAUGACUCAUUCGGCGCCUUACG